GGGCGUGUAGCUCAAUUGGCAGAGCAGUGGCCUUUUAAGCCAUAGGUUAGGGGUUCGAUUCCCUUCACGCUCA
rnacentral:tRNA from 1 species